UACGAAGGGGGCUAGCGUUGCUCGGAAUCACUGGGCGUAAAGGAGCGUAGGCGGGUUUCUAAGUCAGGUGUUUAAUCCCGGGGCCCAACCCCGGACAGGCACUUGAAACUGGGAAUCUUGAAUAGUGGAGAGGUCAGUGGAAUUGGGGGUGUAGCGGUGGGAAUGCGUAGAGGAUCCCCAAGAACACCAGUGCGAAGGCGGCUGACUGGACACA
rnacentral:rRNA from 1 species